GAUGAACGCUGGUGGCGUGCUUAACACAUGCAAGUCGAACGGAAAGGCCCUUGCUUGCAGGGGUACUCGAGUGGCGAACGGGUGAGUAACACGUGGGUGAUCUGCCCUGCACUUCGGGAUAAGCCUGGGAAACUGGGUCUAAUACCGGAUAGGACCAUCGUUUAGUGUCGGUGGUGGAAAGUUUUUUCGGUGUGGGAUGAGCUCGCGGCCUAUCAGCUUGUUGGUGGGGUAAUGGCCUACCAAGGCGUCGACGGGUAGCCGGCCUGAGAGGGUGUACGGCCACAUUGGGACUGAGAUACGGCCCAGACUCCUACGGGAGGCAGCAGUGGGGAAUAUUGCACAAUGGGCGCAAGCCUGAUGCAGCGACGCCGCGUGGGGGAUGACGGCCUUCGGGUUGUAAACUCCUUUCGUCAGGGACGAAGCGAAAGUGACGGUACCUGGAUAAGAAGCACCGGCUAACUACGUG
rnacentral:rRNA from 1 species